UAUGUAGGGUGCGAGCGUUAAUCGGAAUUACUGGGCGUAAAGCGUGCGCAGGCGGUUUCGUAAGACAGAUGUGAAAUUCCCGGGCUUAACCUGGGAACUGCGUUUGUGACUGCGAGAAUCGAGUGUGGCAGAGGGGGGUGGAAUUCCACGUGUAGCAGUGAAAUGCGUAGAGAUGUGGAGGAACACCGAUGGCGAAGGCAGCCCCCUGGGUUGACACUGACGCUCAUGCAAGAAAGCGUGGGUAGCAAACAGG
rnacentral:rRNA from 1 species